CUCUGUUAAAAGCUGUGAAGCUAGAAAGUGUGUGUGAGCUGCUGUGAGUUGAGCAGCAUGGAUCAGUGUGAGGACAGAGAGGAGGGAGUCCCUCCCUCUACAAGCUCUCUGUGUGGGGAUCAGGAGAAGCAGAGCAAAGCUC